GGGGGAACCUGGUGGGCUGCCGUCUAUGGGGUCGCACAGAGUCGGACACGACUGAAGCGACUUAGCAGCAGCAGUAGCAGCUACUAACAGUCUGGAGAAGGAAAUGGCAACCCACUCCAGUGUUCUUGCCUGGAGAAUCCCAGGGACGGGGGAGCCUGGUGGGCUGCUGUCUCUGGGGUCGCACAGAGUCGGACACGACUGAAGCGACUUAGCAGCAGUAGCAGCAGCAUCUUUAUUCUUACUGGAUAAGUCUAUGGAUUGACUUUAUUACCCAGUAUAGAUACUGUUUUCCUUUGAGUCACCCUUCUCUCAUUAAACAGUCCUGCCUUGGUGUUCUGUGUCUUUUCCCUUUUAUUUUUAAUCACGAUUAAUCUUCACAGCUGCUUAGUUAUAUAAUAAUAUCCUGUGUUUAAACACAGGCCUACAGAUUGAAUUUCUCAGAGAGCAAGUUCAAGAUCUUUUUAAAACCACAAGAUCUCUUUUAUGGGUGCUACAAAGAUUCUUUAGGAGCGCAGCAUUAAUGAUUUGAGAAGCUAUUUCAUCUAUUUUACAUUUGUUGCUUGUUUCAGUGAUUUUUAUCCUGUGUUAAUCUUGUAAGUGGGCUAAUAAGCUGAGAAAGUUUUCAUUUAACAUACAGACACCUGCUCUAUUCCUUUCUUGAAAGCUGUUCAAUGUAGUUGUUAAAUCUGCUUGAAUCUCAGUUUGGAGGAGUGUAUAAUACUCUCUUUACUGAACGAUCAUUUUCUAAAUUAAUGUAUUUAUUUUCUUCUUAUGCAAGUAACCUACAUGUGUUCAUUACAGAAAUCUUGGGGGGUGGAAAUAAUGCAAAAGCAUAAAGGAAAAACAUUUUUAAAAUCAACUCGAGGGCUCCCCUGCUGUCUCAGUGGUAGAGUCCACCUGCUGAUGCAGGAGACAAGGGUUCGAUCCCUGAUCUGGGCAGAUCCCACGUGCUGCAGAGGAACUAAACUGGUAUACCACGAGUAUUGAGCCUGUGCUCUGGACACCAGGAGCUGCAACUGCUGAGCCCAUAUGCCACAACUGCUGAAGCCUGUGCACCCUAGACCCAGUGCUUUGCAACAAGAAAAGCUGCCACAGUGAGCAGCCCACACACUGCAACUGGAGAAAGCCCAAGUGGCAGUGAAGAUCCAGCACAGCCAAAAACAAAUCAUAAAAUCAAUUCUGAUUGUACCAGGGUUUUAAGUUGUAUUUAAUGGGGGCAACAUUAAAUACAACUUAAAGAAAGCUGAGCACUGAAGAACUGAUGCUUUUGAACUGUGGUGUUGGAGAAGACUCUUGAGAGUCGCUUGGAUUGCAAGGAGAUCAAAGCAGUCAGUUCUAAAAGAAAUUAGUCCUGAAUAUUCAUUGGAAGGACUGAUGCUGAAGCUGAAACUCCAAUACUUUGGCCACCUGAUGUGAAGAGCUGACUCAUUAGAAAAGACCCUGAUGCUGGGAAAGACUGAAGGCAAGAGGAGAAGGGGACGACAGAGGAUGAGAUGGUUGGAUGGCAUCACUGACUCGAUGGACAUAAGUUUGAGUAAGCUCCAGGAGUUGGUGAAGGACAGGGAAGCAUGGCAUGCUGUAGUCCAUGGGGUUGCAAAGAGUCAGACACGACUGAGCAGCUGAACUGAACUGAAUGGAACAACAGGGAAAAGUACAUCUACUCCAUCUUCCUGUUAACAGAAGUCAAGAUAUAAAAUAUCAUGAAAUGAAAUAUCUUAUUUUAUAAAAUAGUUGGCUUCAUGUUUUUGGAAUUGUACAGAGAUUUAUUUAUUGCAGGUAUGUUGACUCCCCCACUAGAACUGUUUCUGGCAUAUGGUAGGAACUUAAAAAUAUUCAGUGACUGAAUCUCUACUUCAGUGAGAAAGCUUAAGGACUUAAGUAAUUUCUUCUUCAACUGGUAACUUCUCAAGUAAUUUCUUCUUCAAACACCCAACACAGUUGGGUCGAGUAAAGAGUGUGGUUAAAGAAUCAGUGUAAUUAAAAAUAAUGCUGGUGAGAAAUUUAGUAAGUUUAUUAUACUCAGAAGUUAGACAGUGGAACAUCUCUCUGCACGAUCUGAAUUUGGACUGUCUGAUUCCAAACCCUGAGCUCUCACACUGGGGCACUCAUGAAAGUCAAGGCCCCUUUUGUUCCUUUAGGACAAAGGAUGGGUGAGAGGGAGCCCCCACUUGAGACAAUGACAAAGUGACAACACAACACUUUCCCACUGAAUUAACAGUGUCCUUGCCUUCUUCAGGCAACUGCCCAGUGCUGUCAGCUCCUUCCUUCUGCUCAAUGCCAGGCUUCCUGCCUAGUGUCCUAAUUACUCCUUGAUUCCUGUGCAAAUGGGAUACCACUCCAAUUUCUCUCUUGCAGCUGCAUUUUUUUCAGCCCCCCCCCCCAAAAAAACCCAAAAGCAAUAGUGCUUUCCCAUUUAUCUGCAGUGUUUCCUAAUGCUACUCACCACUUCCCAGAUUUCUCCCUACUCUUGAUUUUCAGGAUCCUUCACUUUCUUGAUUUGCCUCCAUUCCACUGAUUACUUUCUGACUCUUUACUCCCAUCCUCCGACUGGUGCAUUCCUCAAGAUUCCUCCUUUCCUGUCCUUGUCCGUAGUCUCAUUCUCAGCUUAUUGACGUCUGGCAGAUACACUCAUUCAUUCAUUCAGUGUUCGUUUAUCUAGCACCUGCUGUGUACCAGGCAUUGUUCUAUAGCAGGAAACAGGAUAAACAAUGUCAUCAUUCCAGUGGAAGACACAGCAAACAAAAACAGCAACAAAAUCAGUUGGUUUUGGAGCCUUACAGCAUUUCAACAGUAUUAAUCAAUCUUCUAACUUUUCAUGUACAUAAUCUCAAUUAUCUAUUAAUUCCAAAAUUAUUGAAAAUAAGAAUUUUGUUUUUUCAUAAA
ensembl:lncRNA